rnacentral:rRNA from 1 species
UCAAAAACAUGUCUUUUUGGUUAUUUAAUAUAAAGUCUGGCCUGCCCACUGAAUUUAAUUUUGAAGGGCCGCAGUAUUUUGACUGUGCAAAGGUAGCAUAAUCAUUAGUCUUUUAAUUGAAGGCUGGUAUGAAUGGUUGGAUGAGGUACAAGCUGUGUCAUAAAAAUUAAUAUUUGAAUUUAACUUUUUAGUCAAAAGGCUAAAAUUUAAUUGAAAGACGAGAAGACCCUAUAGAGCUUUAUAUAAUGAUUAUUUAAUUUAUUAAGAUUUAUUAAAUUUAAUUAUUUUAUUGUAUUUUGUUGGGGUGACAAUAAAAUUUAAAAAACUUUUAUUAUUAUUUUACAUUUAUUUAUGAUUUUAUGAUCCAGUUUUAUUGAUUAUAAAUUUAAGUUACCUUAGGGAUAACAGCGUAAUUUUUUUUGAGAGUUCAUAUCGACAAAAAAGAUUGCGACCUCGAUGUUGGAUUAAGAGUAAUUUUGGGUGUAGAAGUUCAAAGUUUAAGUCUGUUCGACUUUUAAAUUCUUACAUGAUCUGAGUC